rnacentral:rRNA from 1 species
CGCCAAAUAGCUAGCCUCCCAACAACUUCAACACAUCCCUAUUAAUACCCCCUAAAUACCCCAGUAUUUACCUAAAACAAAUCAUUUUACCCCCUUAGUAUAGGUGACAGAAAAGGGCCCCCA